rnacentral:lncRNA from 1 species
CAACCAACAAUUCCUUGACAUCAAAUACAAUUGUAUCUUUCAAUUGUUGGGCUAUUAACAUCAGACGAUCAAUUAUGUUGUUACCCAAUAUAAAAAACAAUGCCGAUCUUUUGUUAGAGAAAACUCUCUCUGUCUUAAAAGUAUAAUAAUGCCAUCUUGACUUCUUGGGGUGAGCAUAGAAGUACAUAAAAGUUUCACUAUAUAUUAAUCUUUUAACAUGAGCCACACUGAAACCUUGACACAUCUAGUCCUCGCUGGUUCAUAUUAAUGUUUCAUCUCUACAAAAAAAUAUAAUAGCUUAGAAUGGUGGAGCACGGAUGUGACUUCCUCAUUACAACGGUGAAUUAAAAAGUUUCACCAAGCGAGUAUUCACCUGUUAAAAUAAGAUUUUAGCUCAUAGUGCAUCUAGAGUACUGCAUCAAUAGUAAAAGCACUACCAAAU